rnacentral:rRNA from 1 species
AUACGUAGGUGGCAAGCGUUAUCCGGAAUUAUUGGGCGUAAAGCGCGCGCAGGCGGUUUCUUAAGUCUGAUGUGAAAGCCCACGGCUCAACCGUGGAGGGUCAUUGGAAACUGGGGAACUUGAGUGCAGAAGAGGAGAGUGGAAUUCCAUGUGUAGCGGUGAAAUGCGUAGAGAUAUGGAGGAACACCAGUGGCGAAGGCGACUCUCUGGUCUGCAACUGACGCUGAGGCGCGAAAGCGUGGGGAGCAAACAGGAUUAGAUACCCUGGUAGUCCACGCUGUAAACGAUGAGUGCUAGGUGUCGGGGGGUCCAACCCUCGGUGCCGGCGCAAACGCAUUAAGCACUCCGCCUGGGGAGUACGGUCGCAAGACUGAA